CCAAACUAUUGAUUUUGUACGUGUGUAGUAUAUAGCGGUUAGUAUGUGCGCUAUACCGUACCGCAGUCGUAGGACUGGACAUGUAACAUUGUACAUGUAGUCCAUUACGAACACAUAAUUUCAAGAAAUAAGAAACAAAUUAGCCUAAAAAAAUAGCCUAAAAAAAUUAAACUUUGAUUCGGAAAAUCAAAAUUUUCAAAUUCACGAUACAAGUUGCUGAAAGCAACACUCAAAUUCUAGGAAUUCCAGAUAAUAUUUUGACUCCAUGCAUGGACGUACCAGGCAACAGAUUGGUGCCAUAUAACACCAGCAAGCUUUAACGCGGCCAUAUAGCAUGAAUUACACAAUUUUACUCAUACGAGUUUGCGACAAAGUACAUAUUAAGUUACAACUGAGUGAUGCAUAUAACAUAAUCACUACACAUAAUUUUAUAAUAUAAUAUGAUCAAGUAAUAAUUUCACUAUACAGGGUAUUUUACAAAGCUGACUAUUAGUGGGCAUUCGAAAUAUCAAUCUAAGUACACUUUGGUCUAGUAUAGCCAAUGUAAUGCAUGGCUGCUUAAAGUAAGGGCUCCUGAAACCUUGACGUAUGAUUUCAAUGGUCGAUUGGGUGAAACAGAUUCUAUUUUCAGCAGCCAUGCCCAUAGCAUUUGUUACAUUAAACCAAUUUUAAUAAUCUUUGUGUCAAAAUUUAUCCCUUAGAUUGAAUUUUCGAUUCAUGCUAAUAACUUGCUGUGUACAAAUUUGGAACACAGCUAUAGGUACUUCUUUGGGUCACCUUGAAUUAAUACCAUUGUCAAAUUAUCACUUCAAGAUUUAAUGAUUUUAGUAAAUUUUCUAAUUGGAGCUGACUUUCUGUGAAAGUCCGACAAGGUAUUAUGCAAACAAGUACAAAAAUUGGGAAAAUGUUCCAAUGCAAGACCUAUACAAUCAGCUGUACGAAAGAUAUUUGAUUAGGACCCUCAUUUGCAUCGAAUGCUCGAUUGCAUGUACUAGUACUGGGCAGCAAAUGAUUGAAUGCAUCUGUUUUUGUAUUUAAAAUGAAC